rnacentral:rRNA from 1 species
GAUGAACGCUGGCGGCGUGCCUAAUACAUGCAAGUCGAGCGGACGGACGCGAAGCUUGCUUCUCUGAUGUUAGCGGCGGACGGGUGAGUAACACGUGGAUAACCUCCCUAUAAGACUGGGAUAACUUCGGGAAACCGGAGCUAAUACCAUAUGAUAUUUUGAACCGCAUGGUUCAAAGGUGAGAGACGGUGUUGCUGUCACUUCUCGAUGGAUCCGCGCUGCUUUGGCUGGUUGUUAAGGUAAAGGCGUACCAAGGCAACGAUGCAUGACAGACCUGAGAGGGUGAUCGGCCAAACUGGAACGGAGACAAGGUCCAGAGUGCUAGGGGAGGCAGCAGUAGGGAAACUGCAGCAAGGGGCGAAAGACUGACGGAGCAACGCCGAGUGAGUGAGGAAGGUCUUCGGAUCGUAAAACUCUGCUAUUAGGGAAGAACACAUGUGUAAGUAACUGUGCACAUCUUGACGGUACAUAAGUAGAAAGCCACGGCUAACUAAGUG